rnacentral:rRNA from 1 species
UACAGAGGGUGCGAGCGUUGUCCGGAAUCACUGGGCGUAAAGCGCGUGUAGGUGGUGGGACAAGUCUGCUGUGAAAGCGCCUGGCUUAACCGGGCGAGGUCGGCGGAAACUGUCCGACUAGAGGACGGUAGAGGGGGGUGGAAUUCCCGGUGUAGUGGUGAAAUGCGUAGAGAUCGGGAGGAACACCUGUGGCGAAGGCGGCCCCCUGGGCCGGCCCUGACACUGAGACGCGAAGGCGUGGGGAGCGAACGGG